rnacentral:rRNA from 1 species
UACGUAGGGUGCGAGCGUUAAUCGGAAUUACUGGGCGUAAAGCGUGCGCAGGCGGUGAUGUAAGACAGGUGUGAAAUCCCCGAGCUUAACCUGGGAACUGCAUUUGUGACUGCAUCGCUGGAGUGCGGCAGAGGGGGAUGGAAUUCCGCGUGUAGCAGUGAAAUGCGUAGAUAUGCGGAGGAACACCAGUGGCGAAGGCGCCGCUCUGGGCCGAGACUGACGCUGAGGAGCGAAAGCGUGGGUAGCAAACAGG